GAAACCGGCCACCUAGGUAGCUGCAACUAAGGUCUAGCUCGAUCACUUCACCGGACUUGACGUUGCACGUGAUUGUAACGUCCCGACCCGCCCACGGCUAAUAGGCCACCCACGCCCGCUCUCUCGGCCCGUGGGCCCCAUCCCGUCUGACGGUCGGUCCGUUAAUUUUCCAAAGGCUCGAAAUCAUUGUUUACUGACCCUGCAAUCACCACCCGACCUUUUCCCAUGCUUUGGCCUCACUCGCACGCUAUCGCGAAUCACUUCCCGAUAGGUCACCCAUCCUUCCACUACUCCAGCUCAAGCACGCUUAACUCUGGAGUUCUUUCAGGAUGUGUUCCGGAAAAGGUAAGUCAACUUUGGUGACAUAGGUAGCCAAAUCAAUUAUCUUAAGCCUUUUUCACAUAUCACAACUCGGGAUGUUACAAUUCACCCCAUCUCAAAGAACGCAACGUCCUCGUUGCGCCCCAUGACAGGUCUUAAGACGCCUCUCAGGUCAGAACUGAGACGGCUAACCAGCUCUGAUACCACUUAUAACGCCCCGACCCGCCCACGGCUAAUGGGCCACCCACGCCCGCUCUCUCGGCCCGUGGGCCCCAUCCCGUCUGACGGUCGGUCCGUUAAUUUUCCAAAGGCUCGAAAUCAUUGUUUACUGACCCUGCAAUCACCACCCGACCUUUUCCCAUGCUUUGGCCUCACUCGCACGCUAUCGCGAAUCACUUCCCGAUAGGUCACCCAUCCUUCCACUACUCCAGCUCAAGCAUGCUUAACUCUGGAGUUCUUUCAGGAUGUGUUCCGGAAAAGGUAAGUCAACUUUGGUGACAUAGGUAGCCAAAUCAAUUCUCUUAAGCCUUUUUCACAUAUCACAACUCGGGAUGUUACAAUUUCCCACCAAAGGUUAUCGGAAUGGGAAACCUGAAAGAACUCCAGAGUUAAGCGUGCUUGAGCUGGAGUAGUGGAAGGAUGGGUGACCUAUCGGGAAGUGAUUCGCGAUAGCGUGUGAGUGAGGCCAAAGCACGGGAAAAGGUCGGGUGGUGAUUGCAGGGUCAGUAAACAAUGAUUUCGGGUCUUAGAAAAUUAACGGACUGACCGUCAGACGGGAUGGGGCCCACGGGCCGAGUGAGCGGGCGUGGGUGGCCCAUUAGCCGUGGGCGGGUCGGGGCGUUAUAAGUGGUAGGGAUUGUCGGAGUAGGCCAUUUGGUGCACGGGGAGUAGCACCAGCAGCACCAGCAGGACAGGCAGCACCAGCAGGACAGGCAGCACCAGCAGCACAGCCAGCACCAGUAGCACAGGGAGCGCAGGCAGCACCAGCUGCACCAUACGCACCAGGAGCUUGCUUCACUUGUGGCCAGUUUGGCCAUAUCUCCAGGUUUUGCCCGACUAAAGGGCCUGGGGCCAAGCGUCAAGCCAUCACCCCGCGUGUUUAUGCUCUAGGAGAGGCCAAUGGAGCUGAGCCGAUAGCCGGUAUGUAUCCUUAUCAUUUCUUUUUUUUUUUUUUGAGUAAUUGUGUUUUGGUGGAUAUCUAGUUAGAAAAAAAAAAAAAAGUCGACUUUUUUUGUGACAACCCGCCCCGUGGGAACUACCCGCCCCUUGGGCCCCAGGCUCACAGCGCUGCAGCGCACCGACCCCAACCCCUCAAUUAUGAGUUCUCUCUAACUCCAUAAUUAGGUUGUUGGUGAGCCUCGAACCCAGGACCUCACCCUUUAACAGCAUUCCCACAGGACAAGCUGUCACCAAUUGAUCUGCAGAUCAAUUGGUGACAGCUUGUCCUGUGGGAAUGCUGUUAAAGGGUGAGGUCCUGGGUUCGAGGCUCACCAACAACCUAAUUAUGGAGUUAGAGAGAACUCAUAAUAGAGGGGUUGGGGUCGGUGCGCUGCAGCGCUGUGAGCCUGGGGCCCAAGGGGCGGGUAGUUCCCGUGCUUUGGCCUCACUCACACGCUAUCGCGAAUCACUUCCCGAUAGGUCACCCAUCCUUCCACUACUCCAGCUCAAGCACGCUUAACUCUGGAGUUCUUUCAGGAUGUGCUCCGGGUUGUUACAAUUUCAGCAUGGGAAAAGGUCGGGUGGUGAUUGCAGGGUCAGUAAACAAUGAUUUCGAGCCUUUGGAAAAUUAACGGACCGACCGUCAGACGGGAUGGGGCCCACGGGCCGAGAGAGCGGGCGUGGGUGGCCUAUUAGCCGUGGGCGGGUCGGGACGUUACAAGUGGUAUCAGAGCUGGUUAGCCGUCUCAGUUCCGACCUGAGAGGCGUCUUGAGACCUGUCGGGGGCGCAACGAGGACGUUGCGUUCUUUGAGAGGGGGUGAAUUGUAACAUCCCGAGUUGUGAUAUGUGAAAAAGGCUUAAGAGAAUUGAUUUGGCUACCUAUGUCACCAAAGUUGACUUACCUUUUCCGGAACACAUCCUGAAAGAAUUCCAGAGUUAAGCGUGCUUGAGCUGGAGUAGUGGAAGGAUGGGUGACCUAUCGGGAAGUGAUUCGCGAUAGCGUGCGAGUGAGGCCAAAGCAUGGGAAAAGGUCGGGUGGUGAUUGCAGGGUCAGUAAACAAUGAUUUCGAGCCUUUGGAAAAUUAACGGACCGACCGUCAGACGGGAUGGGGCCCACGGGCCGAGAGAGCGGGCGUGGGUGGCCCAUUAGCCGUGGGCGGGUCGGGGCGUUAUAGUGAUACCCUCCCAAGUACAACAAUCGCUGCUAUUCCGCCAUGAUUCCGUUUUCGGAUGACGCUUUACUAUAUCAUCAUCAAAAUAACAAUCAUAAGCAAAGGAAGAGUUUAGAACCUCAAACUCGUUCUUCAACAGAAGAAGUGCAUCCCUUUGAUCCGGACGACACAAGUGCGUAGUUGGAACCGCAGACACGUCCCCAUAACUGUAGCCGAAUAAAAAAAGUAUAGAAAGAGUAAGAGAAAUGGUACUCGUUAAGUUCCAAAAGCCUUUCAUUCUUCUUUAAGCUUAUUUAACUUUCUUGAAUAUCAAAAACUGAAAGAGCAAAAAGAAAAGGGAAAUUGGUGAUGAGUAACAUGCUUCCAUGGCCAUUUCUUUAUAUACACAAUAAUAGACUCUGUAUUUACUCCACACAAAACAAAAUCCACAGAGAAAAAUACAUUAUUCGUCACGUCGAAAGCAAAAUCUUUGUGUCGGAUAGUCAAUUUUCUACACAUAUUGGUCCCCUACACUAAUUACAUGAAUUUUCAAAAAAAAAAGAAUUGUCUAAACCAAAGAAGACGUAAUUUAGGUUUAUAUUUGGAUUUAAACUAAGAGCACCCGCAAUGGGAAUCUUUAAGGAUGAGUCCUUAGGAAAAAAAUAAUUAAAUAAUCGGUGAAUCCCACCAAAAGUUAAGGAUUCAAUCUUUAAAAUUCCUAAAUAAGGACUCUUUUUUAGUGAAUCCUUGCACUAUUUGCGGGUCCCGACGACAUGUGGCGAUUCGCGAUUGGUUGAUAUUUAUUUUUUUUUAUCUAAAAAAAUAAAAUAAAUAAUAAUACUUAAAAAAUCAAAAUAUAUUUUUUCUAAAGAUUCGCCUUUGAGUAACACUAUUGUGGGUGCUCUAACGUAUACUACGACCCAUGCAUAUUGACCCAAAAGUACUAACGUUUACGAUUACGAGACCCAUGCAUAUUUGCAUAUAAUGUAGUCUUUCGAUUUGAUAGUACAAGUUUUAUCUUUUUUACUUAUUCUAUUUAAAAAUUCAAGAUUUUAUGACAUUCCUUGCUUUAAAAAAAGAACUAAUUUAACUACUAAACUAGCGUAAUUUUGAUAGAAUUUCAAAAUAAGAAUCAUGCAUCUCCUAUAUUAAUAAGAAGAAAACAAACAUCAACCUUUUCAAAAAAAAUCAACGGCGAACGGUCUUAUUUUUAUUUUUGGUUUAUUCCUCGUGACUUCCAAAAUGAAAAAUAUAUGCAAAAUGACAAAAAGAUUAAACUCUUUACUAAGAAUCAAUCAAAAUGAACAAAAAUAUCAAUCUGCAUGAGAACAUUCUUCAUAACAGAAAAAUCAACUCUUCGUCGUGAAUGUACCGGCGAUCGAGCCAUAUGGCCCAUAUCAUAGUGAGUACAUUCUUCAACUAAUAUUCCUCAGGGCGAGAUCGUCAGGAAGAAACCAAGAUUUUACUCGAUCGCUUUCUUUUUGUUUCUUCAAUAUAUGGCUGUAGUAACCAAAAACAAAUAAAUAAAUGUUGAUGAACCAAUCAGUUUCCGCAUUUUUUUCUUUCUCACGUCAAUAAUAACAAGUUUUGGUGAUAAUCAUCUCACUUUCAUUAGAUAAAAUAUACAGAAAAGAGACAACUAGUGAUGAGAAACCAAAACUUCCAUACGGAAGAGGCUCGUUCAGAUUUUCUUAUUAUGUUUUUCCCCACUUUCUAGAUUAAUGUAAUUUUGUAAUAUACAUUAUUAAUCGUUUCAUAUAUAGUUUCAAGCAACCUACGAGAGACUUCCAAGUCCACAAGAAGGUUAGGGGAAUCAUCUACCUUCAUCCAUGAACCAUCUUCACCACGCGGUUGAACCACGAAGCUGACUCCUUUCACGUCAGAAUCUACCACCAGCUCCGAAACGUAAUAGGCUGGUACGUGAGACACUCCUAGGAACACUCUCUCGCUUCUUGGUUUCUCCAGAACCUUUCUUGAUCUUAGUACAUCAGUUGACUUCACAUUCUCUGCAUACACAUUGUACACUGGGAGAACAGAGUCUUCAAGCUGUGUCUGUCUCCAUUCUAGCUUAACCUUAAGGAUCCUAGAACCGGAUUUACCCAGUACAAGCUCUAAGUUAUGAGCCUCGAUUACCCAUGAUGUCGCUGGAGGUAAGGAAACGAGGUUUUGCUGGAGUAGCUGAACAUGAUGAUCUUUGAUUGAGAUGUGAUCCAUGAUUCCCUCCUCCGUUAUAAGAUGCCUCUCUAGUACUAAACAAAUUCAUGUGCUCACCGUUAUACGUUUGCAAACAAAUAGUGAGCUGAAUGAUAUCAGUGUUGUCUUCCUUGAACUCUAGGAUUGGCUAACAUUAAUAACACAACAAAGGCACCCAUCAGAUGAGAGAAGAGACAAAAUAUUAUAUGCGCAGUUAAAGCGAGGACGAUAAGAUGGUUGAACCUGAAGACUUUGGCAAGAAAUGUUGUACCAUGGAGCAUCAGAUAACUGGCGACCCUCGAGUGAAACAUGGUAACCAAAGCUCUGGAUAAACGAGAAAAGAUAUUUUCAGAACAUAACUUAACAUAAAUCAUCGCCAAGACAGUCGAUGUAUACUUUACCUGAUUGAAGUCAGAGUAAAAAGGCAAGACUUGUGGAUAUGUUUGGACUACUCCCCAUGACUUCUCAACAAGUGACCACCAUCUGAAGGGAAAACGAAUGAACGAUAAUAAGAUGACAAAGAAAUGCCAAUUUAUUUUACAAGCAAACAGACAAAAGAAGUAAUACUUAUUCUGAGCUGUAUGAAAAUUAGGAGGCUGUGCAGUCUCAUAUACCCAUCCAGGAGCGAAAAUGGCAGCUGAUACAUUGUUUCUCUUCAGCAAAUCAAGAGCAGUAUUAACCUAUAAUAUAUAGAUUAAUGAGACAAUGAUUGAAUCUUUAAGCUUCUGAGAUUUCAGAUUGUUGAUUUGGAACCAUAUCUUUGAGCAUCUACUCAAUUGAGUUGAAUUGUGUUGUUGUUGUACAGGGAAGAAGUUGUAGAGAUUAGAUUGUGGAGAAGCUAUGGUAGAGCAAUGGUUGGAUCUGAGAAGAGAGCUCAGCUCAUGGAGAUUGGAGAAACUGUUAUUAUUCUUACUCACUAGGUUUCAAGUUAGAGUAAUGCUUUUUUUUUUUGUGUUUACUUAUCUUAUUUAGGGUACAUUGGUAGCAAAGCAGAUUGGUGAAAGAAACUCUUGUAGUAAUCUGACAGACAUAUCAACAUGUACUUUUGUCAAGUGUUUAAUGUAUUAUCGUUUGUGUAUCAAUGCCUGCAGUUCCAAAUAGAGUUUUUUUCUCCUUUUUUGUUAUCAGCAAUUAGUCUUUUGCGUAAUCAGGUCUCAAAGUUCUCUUUCCAGGACAAUGUACAUCAGAGACAUUCAUGUUCUUCCAUAAUUUACGUUUGGAAGACCAAACCCACCAAGCUAUUGUUUGGCUGUUUGCUUAUAUGACUUUGCAUCAAUCUUUAUCGUGUUGAAGCUCACGCAUCUUCUUCUGAAGAAGAUUGUUUCUGUAGAUUAAUAAAGAAGGGAACAGAAUGGGGGCAAGGCAUGGGCCUAUUCAUCAUUUGUGUUGGCUUGAUCUUUUCAUUGCUACUUACAUGAUUGGCUCGUGGGUUCGAGUCCAAGCUCGUAGGUCACACACAUCAUGAUCAUGUAGUGGCUUAUCUUUGAGAUUUUGGUAUUGAGCUUUAAGUAUAAUGUUGAAAAAUCAAAGGAUAACGUACCAGAGGGAUUGUGAAAGUGACCAAUCAGUUGGCUGUUUCUUUUUUGAGAUCGUGGACACCAAAACAAAGAGAAGCAAGACUUGGAUUCGAUUAAAAAGUCAGUCAAGAAAAAUAUAAAAAGAAAGAUCCAAGAGGAAUUUUCUUAUAAAAUGGAUAAUGAUCGUUAAACCCAAAUUUUAGUUGAGUAUAUAUAUAUUUAGUUAUUGUUAAUUGUUAAUUUAGAUUAUACAUAUUUAAUCAAACAAUCAAAGGUUGAAAUAGAAACAAGAGAGUGUGGACAUGAAGAAAACAAGACCCCUUUAGGCCUUUACUAGCCAUUUCUCUUCCUCUUCUACUCAUCAUUCAUUAUCAAUGAGAAUAUUACCAAUCACAAGAUAAAUCAACGCAAACUUUUUUUUUUUUUUUUUGUAUUGUCACAUUCGAAAAUCAUAAGCUUAAAACCUUUUGAACUUUGUAUAUACACAAAAUGGAAUCUUGAUAAUUAUAUUUGCAAAGUUUAUAGUUUCUAUGAGUUAAUGUGUCUCAUUGAUAUGAACAAUCGAAAUAUCCAUAUAUAAUAUGUACAUCCUUUUCUAAAGCGCUGUGUAACUGUGUUGAUUAUAGCUUUUAUCUGGAUCAUCUGUUCAUUGCUCAUCUCACGUCUAAACAGUUGAUGUUAAGAUUCACAAGAGGGGAAAAGACGACACAUCUUUGACUGUGCUUGUAAUUUUCAGCGUAAGAAACAUAGUUGUUGUUCAAUUACAGAGAAACAAAGAAAUUUGCUAAAACGUAAAAAAAAAUAGAGAUAGAGAAAAAACACACCAAGCUAAACCAGAAACGAUAUCCCAAAUCUUAUUUGAAAUUAUGAUAGACAUAGUAAUUGCUUCGGAUUUCAUCUUUCAGAUUCCGCAGGUAGCUUAUAAAAGACCUGUACCAAAAAAAGAAAAGGUUAACUCAGGUGAUUUCACUAUUAAUAUUUUUGUUUCUUCAAAUGUUUGCUAACAAGUUGACUUAAAACUCUAGAAUAUAUUACCUCUUUAAUGAGUUGUGCUGCUGCUGAUUCUGCGCUUGUUUCGGGCAAAAGGGUCGAUGAACCACUCUGGUUUGUAGGAAAAGAGUAUGUAACCAAUCACCCAUCCAAAGGCAAUACCAGGUAUGACUCCUAUUACAGCUGCUAUCCAACUCAACACCUCUUCUUCUUCUUCAUCCUCUGAUUCCGGUGUUUCAUGCGGUGUUGGCAUGUGGAUAUCUCUGCAAUCUUCGUCAAGAGAAGGGCCAAAAAGUCCCGGAUUAUCCUCAAAGUAAGUGCAGUCCAGCCUUUGAAACUGAGUGCCUCCUGGUACUAGACCUGUAAGCUUGUUAUGAGAGAAGUUCAUGUACGAAAGGAACGAGAGGCUCCCUAGCUCUUGCGGAAUUUCUCCUGAAAGCUUGUUUUGGGAAACGUCUAGUGACUCAAGAGCCGUCAGGUUUCCAAGAGAUGAAGGGAUGUGGCCAGUGAAAGCAUUGUUCGACAAGUUAAGCAUAAGAAGCCCUUUUAAUAGACCGAUGGACCUUGGGAUCUCUCCUUCAAAUUUGUUUCCUGAAAAGUCAAGUGCUGUGUAGAUCUUUAGGAUACGUACAAACUCCAUCUCUAUACCUUUAUUCAUCAACACCAUUGAAUCAUGGUAAUAGGAACCUCCCAUGUAAUUGUCAAACCGCUGAUCAUAAUUGUCCCCCAAUGAUGACAUAGCACUCCACUUCACAAAGUAGUCUGAUGACAAAGAUCCAUUGAAGUGAUUGUGCGAUAUGUCGAUGAUUUGCAACUUAGGGAACGAAGUUUGAAGUACCGGUCCAUGGAACGCAUUGGAGCGUAAUACAAGAAUUUUUAACUCUCGUAGAGAAUGCAACCAGAACGGAAACGUAUCAUUGAAAAUGUUGCUUUCCACGUUCAGAACUUCAAGACUAGAGAAAUGGAUCAAAGAUCUUGGAAGCCUUCCUGUCAGUUGGUUAUGACCAACGUCAAGCGUUCUUAAGCUUUCAAAUAUAGUCUCCGGAAGACCUCCAUGAAGACGAUUUUGACGAAGGUUUAGAUAUAAAAGAGAACGUUUGAGAUUUCCCAGACAACGAGGGAUUAAACCGACGAAUUUGUUGUUCGAUAAAUCAAGAGUGUAUACAUAGCGCAAAUCACAUAUGAAAGAGGGAAUCUUUCCCGUGAAAUUGUUGUUGGAGGCAAUCAAGUUUACGAUAGAAACUGUUGUUGAGUUUCCGAAGCCAGUGAAAGUGUUGUUGGAAAGAUUCAGGUAAGCCAGCUUUGGUAGCGUCCAUAACCAGCCAGGCACUUGACCUUUGAUUUUAUUGUUGGAAAUGUCUAGCCACUCCAUAUGUUGGUUUCUUGGAAAUUCUGGAAACUCGGUGAUACCGCAGCCUGACAAUUCCAAAUAACGCAGCAAAGGGGGACCUGAAACUGGACUCUUGUUUGUGGCAGAAACAGGGUUGCCUGAGAGAACCAACCUCUCGAGCCUCUUAAAAUAUGACAAGAAAUCAUUCAAGUCAAUGGCAGUGGUCGUGUUCAAAUAGGAUAGGUCAAGAUCUUCCAGCCUCUUGAGAUGCGAGAAGAUGUUAAAGUCCACUGGAGCUUGUGUCUUGUAGUGGGAAAGGUCAAGUUGGACAAGGUUGGUAAAUUUGGAUAUCGCGGCCGGGAUUGGCCCUCUCAAGUUGUUAUUGCCAACGUCUAACUUUCGUAGCUGAGGUGGUGAAGAUAUAUUCCCAAACUCAAGAAUACCGUUUAAUUGAUUAUCAGACAAAUCAACAAUAUCCAUAGAAGGAAUGGUGAAGAGAGAAGAAGGCAGGGUCCCAGUGAAAGCGUUGCUACUUGCUAAAAAAAUCGUCAAUUUGGAUAGUGAAGUGAUGUUAUGAGGAAUUGUUCCUGUGAACUGAUUGUAAUAGAGUCCUAAAUAUGACAACUUUGUCAAAUUCAGUAGUGCAAUGGGAAAGCUUCCAUUGAGCCUAUUGAAACCAACACGUAAGGUGGUCAACUGGUUUAGAUUGCCAAAAGAAGAUGGGAUUUCACCAACAAUAUUGUUCCUAGAAAGGUCAAGAUAAGUGAGGUUAUAAAGAUUUCCAAUAGAAGAUGGAAUCUUACCCGAAAUUUGAUUAAAAUAAAGGUUAAGAUAGGUGAGAUGAGAAAGAUUUCCAAUCAAAGAUGGAAUCGGACCAGAAAGAAGGUUCCAUGAAAGAUCGAGAUAGGUGAGAUAAGAAAGGUUUCCAAUAGAAGAUGGAAUCUGACUCAAAAAAGGAUUAACAGAAAGAUCAAGAUAGGUGAGAUGAGAAAGGUUUCCAAUUGAAGAUGGAAUCUGACCAGAAAAACGAUUAGAUGAAAGAUCGAGAAAGGUGAGAUAAGAAAGGUCUACAAUCGAAGAAGGAAUGAACUCGCUGAAACCAUUUUGCGAAAGGUCCAGAGAGGUGAGAUGAGAAAGGUUUCUGAUAGAAGACAUGAUUGGACCACUAAAAUAAUUAUUUGAAAGGAGUAGAGUAGUUAGAGAAUGAAGGUUUCGAAGACUGCUUUUAGAAUGAAACUUGCCACCUAGGUUGCUGCAACUAAGGUUUAGCUCGAUCACUUCACCAGACUUGACGUUGCACGUGAUACCCUCCCAAUUACAGCAGUCGCUGUUAUUCACCCAUGACUCUGUCUUCCGAUGAGGCGUAAUACCACGAUCAAUACAAUUAUAAUAAGUAAAGGAAGAGUUUAGAACCUCAAACUCGUUCUUUAAUUGGAGAAGUGCAUCCCUUUGAUCUGGACGACACAAGUGCGUAGUUGGAACCGCAGACACGUCCUCAUAACUGUAGCCGAAUAAAAAAAGUAUAGAAAGAGUAAGAGAAAUGGUACUCGUUAAGUUCCAAAAGCCUUUCAUUCUUCUUUAAGCUUAUUUAACUUUCUU
rnacentral:lncRNA from 1 species